GGAUUGUUGUUUGGCCUUCUAGGCUGGUGUUUGUGGAAACUGGAAGUAUGUAUGUGCACCAUGUGCAUGCCUGGCAUCCUCAAAGGUCAGAAAAAGGCAUAAAAUGCCCUGGAACUGGAGUUAUUGAUGGCUGUGACCCUUCAGCUGCUGUCUUGAAGAUACCAUCUUGAAGAGAGAAAUAACUAUUUACCCCGCCAUUGCUUCUGAAGAGCUGUUUGUACCAUUACCAUGGUGAUCAUCUUUCUCUGCAGAGGCGCACACUAGAACGCAUGCUCCAUUGCUUUCAGGGAGACACAAGCGAGCCAUCCUUUCCCACUCAAUGAACCCUCACAGACCCAGCAAGCGUAAACCGAAUCAGAAAUAAAGAUGGAAUAAU
rnacentral:lncRNA from 1 species